rnacentral:rRNA from 1 species
GGACCCGCACAAGUAGCGGAGCAUGUGGUUUAAUUCGAAGCAACGCGAAGAACCUUACCUAAGCUUGACAUCCUUUUGACCGAUGCCUAAUCGCAUCUUUCCCUUCGGGGACAGAAGUGACAGGUGGUGCAUGGUUGUCGUCAGCUCGUGUCGUGAGAUGUUGGGUUAAGUCCCGCAACGAGCGCAACCCUUGCCUUUAGUUGCCAGCAUUAAGUUGGGCACUCUAGAGGGACUGCCAGGGAUAACCUGGAGGAAGGUGGGGAUGACGUCAAAUCAUCAUGCCCCUUAUGCUUAGGGCUACACACGUGCUACAAUGGGUGGUACAGAGGGCAGCCAAGUCGUGAGGCGGAGCUAAUCCCUUAAAGCCAUUCUCAGUUCGGAUUGUAGGCUGAAACUCGCCUACAUGAAGCUGGAGUUACUAGUAAUCGCAGAUCAGAAUGCUGCGGUGAAUGCGUUCCCGGGUCUU